UACGGAGGGUGCAAGCGUUAUCCGGAUUCACUGGGUUUAAAGGGUGCGUAGGCGGGCAGGUAAGUCAGAGGUGAAAUCUCCGGGCUUAACCCGGAAACUGCCUUUGAUACUAUCUGUCUUGAAUAUGGUGGAGGUAAGCGGAAUAUGUCAUGUAGCGGUGAAAUGCUUAGAUAUGACAUAGAACACCCAUUGCGAAGGCAGCUUACUACGCCUAUAUUGACGCUGAGGCACGAAAGCGUGGGGGAUCAAACAGG
rnacentral:rRNA from 1 species